ensembl:lncRNA
CCACUGUCAACCCCUUUGUUGUGGGGCCCCUAUUCUCCCCUGCUUGCGUCACCCCUGAACCAAGCAGGGGUGCCAGUGUCAAGAAGAAUAGUGUAUAUUAGUAAAGCUUAAUUUCUUUUAAAUUUGUUUUUAGAAAAAUAAAUACAAAUGGAAGUUUAAUUUUUUUCUUCCUACACCGCCAUGCAUCUUGUGUAUUCCCUGGGGUGUAUACGUGCCUCUGCCCUAAGCAAAUGGAAUUUUAAACCAACUGUCAUUUUAGAUGGAUCACCCAGUUGGCAUGUGGACGUCUGCUAUUCUCUUGAGCUUUUAAGAGGCUGUUGAUAUACUUCCAGUCAGAGAGGACAAGAGCCUCCAGGGUGGCCUUGGGAAAGGAAAGAGUCAAGGAAUUGGAGAGGCUGACUUUUAAUUGAGAGCUUCUGAUGGAUUCUUGAGUGGGUUUAGAGGAACCACGGUCCUAGAAGUGGGAGUUGUUAAAGACAGAUUACUGCACCAAGAGUAAAGUUUGAUUGAGAGGCUGGGAGAGGACUCAGCCAUCCAAAGCUUCCCUUGAAGGCCAGUGAUACCCCAAGGGGCAAGCUAACGACGCAUGUCUGGGAAUUCUUCCAAUGGCUCUCCUCCUUUCCUUAGCCCCUGCCUCUGAGGCAGUGGCUGUGUCCAAUGGAGGACUCAUGACUUCCAUCUGUAAGCUCUCCCUCCCAGUUAGUCCACUGUCUCCCUGGGGAGAGCCAAUGCACAUCAGAGUAUCAGUAUUAAAAACAACUUCUCAGCUAGAUUCCUCUCAGACAUCUAGUACAUCAAAAUCCCUCUCACCCUAAUUCCUUUUCCUCCUCUCUCCCUCCGCCACUGGGACUAGGUUCUUCUCUUAGCUCUUGGGGUGCCUUCUGCAUCCCCCCGGCCCCCUCUGUACCCUCCAUGUUCCGGUUCCAGGUUCUUCCUGGACUGAGCAGUAGGGGAAAAGGAGCAUCUGGUUUAGCAAAAGAUUUGAAGGUGACCUUCAUCGAGCCCUAAGAGAGAUAACAAUCUCUCUGCAAUCAACGAGCCUGGCUCCUCUGGAUACCAAAAUAGCAACUGUGGAGUAAGUCUGCCCCCUCCACCUCCUUCCCCUCCCUUUUUCUUCAGGACAACACAAAGAAACUCUAGGGGUGAACUGGGAAAUCACAGUAUCUUCUAACAGCCUGAAAGCCUGAAAAGCAAGUUCCUGUGUAUGUGUAUCUGCGGCUCAUCGGUACAGAAAAGCUAAUUAUCUCAGCGCUGUCGCCACCACCUUGCAUUCAGCAAAUUCUGUCCUUUCGAUUGUGAUCUUAUCGGUCCUAUCAAUAAUCCUGAGUUCAUAGAGGGUCCAGAAAUGGUGCACCCAUUCUAGGUAGGAGGGAACCAGGGUCCCAGGCCUGCCCAGGGUCACCCAGGGACGGAGUUCCCAGAGCAAAAGAUGACAGUCUGCUUCCUAAGAGUUCCUGUGGUAGAUUUCCACUGGGAAUGGCAUGUGUUCUCAGGACUUGAUUGCCAGACCUCAGGAACAUUUGCUAUUGGGAUGAUUAUUUUAUAGCAAUCUUAACAACCUCGUGCUGGCUCCCACCCUAUUCCUCUACUCCCUGGGCUGAGCCCUGAGCUGUUUUGAGCGACUGUUGCAGCACCCAGUGGGCGGUUAUCAAGGUAGGAACAUAUGGAGUGGGGAAGGAAAGAUCCUCCACUCUACGGCGUUUGGGGAGGGGAGUGAAGACGGCAUUUGUCAGGGUUGGAGUUAGCAGGGAUAUGGAACAUGUAUUUACAUAUGGCGGCAAAUUGCUGAUGGGAAAGAAGAAGCUGGCAAAUGGGAUGACUCAUCUAGAGAUGAAAAACACAAUAUCUGAAAUGAAAGAUAUACUGGAUGGAAUUACAGUGAGUAAGAUGUUAUAGAAGUAAAGAUUAGUCAACUUGAAGAAUAAAAAUGAUCCAAAAUUACAUAAUGAAACUGGGAAAAGAAGAGCAACUCACCAAGAAAACAUAAAAACCCUCAAUGCAUCUACUCCUAAAAAUACAGCUUCAAAAUAUAUGAAGCAAAGAUGAGAGAACUGAAAGAAGAAAUAGAAAACCCCACAAUUACAGUUGGAGACUUCAAUAACCGUUUCUCAAAUUUUAGAGAACAACUGGAGAAAAAGUCUGUAAGGAUCUAAAAGUCCCAGCUGCAUCUGGGAGGCAUGAGGCAGCUCUGCCAGCUGCACCUGAGCUCUGGAAUGUCAGUCAUGGCCAUCUUUCCUGCUGAAAUGUUCACAGAUAGCUGGGGUAGGAUGCCUCUAACAUCGUCCCUCAUUGCUGUUUCUGGACAUCUGAAAAGCUAGUGGCAGAGGGCUUUGUAAGGCCAAAUUUCAAAUGCAGGGACCCAUAAUUAGAGGCUGCAGUCCCAAGACAGUCUCUUAUAAAGCCCAACCCCCUUACCUUGUGUCAUGGAUUGAGCUGUGUGCCCCUAAAUCUCUUGUGUUGAAGUCCUAACCCCCAGCAUGUGACCUUACGUGGACAUAGGGUAGUUGCAGAUGUAAGUAGUUAAGGUGAGAUCAUACUGGAGUAGAGUGAGCCUCUGACCCAAUAUGACUGGUGUCCUUAUCCAAAGGGGAAAUGUGGACACAGACACACACAGGGAGAAGGCUCUAUGAUGAUUGGAGUGACGCUGCUACAAGCCAACGAACGACCAGAAGCUGGGAGAGAGACCUGGGAAAGACCCUUCCCUGGCGCCUUCAGAGCAGGCAUGCUCCCGCUGACACCUUGAUUUCAGACUUCCGGCCUCCAGAACUGUGAAACAAUGUAGUUUUGUUGUUCUAAGCCACCCAGUUUGUUAUGGCAGCCCUUGUGAACCAACACAGCUCAGCUCUGGCCCCAGCCUCCCUUUCCAGUACUAUCGUCCACCCCUCCCCUGCAGGAACUCGUGCUCCACAACACUGGUGCCCAGGCAGUUAUUUGUGGAAUAACCUGCUGCAUGGUUGUCUACUGGCCAGGUUCUCAGAUUGCACCCAAGAGACACACGGAGCAUCUGGGAAUGUGGGGAGGCCGGGAAAACCACCCAUUCAGCAGCCCAUCACCUGUGUCCUAUUUGUCCCGUCCUAGCAUGUGUAGAGGCUCCACAGAGGCCCUGAGGGUGGCCUCCUCAGGGAGCACCCUGAUCUUAAGUGAUUUUUCUUCAUGGUAGUUUCCAGAAGAAGAGUAUGAUGGGUCAGUGACUCUCACUCAGAGUGACACUCAUCUCCUGGGCUCGGUGAAUGAGUUAACAUUCACAAAACCCUCAGAACUGGCCGGCACAUAGAGACGGCUAUAGAAGUGUUGACCCAUCUAAGAGAUGGCUUCUCUUGAGUUCUAGCUUUUACAUGAUUGCUUUCUGUUCACACAUGGAGCCUUGGUCCAGUUCUCAAGUUUGAUGUCCCCUCCUUAACAAGCACCCUCAACGGAUGGAGGCUAGCCAAAGAGAAAGUAUGGAAACCCACUUGGACCCCUUUUCCUAGUCAGAAGCUGUGUAUGUGGCUGGUUAUAAAGGCUGGAUGGAUUCCUCACUACACCCACUAAAAAUAAGCAUCAACUUACCACACAUGGAUGGAACCUAUUAAGUGCACAACACUCUGGCGGACCCAGUAAAAGAUACACCACGGUGCUGGCCCUGGAAGAUGUUCCCUCCCCAGGAGCAGGACAAGCUAAAUGAGAGGACCAGGCAGCAUCUGAGAAGUGCCCAGUAGUGGGUCAGACAGGUCUGAGGAAGAUGAGGACAAGGGCGCCGGGCCUUCCACCAGCCUCAGCCCCCUGAAAGGCUCUGCUCUUCACAGUACACUCAAGGGCCAUGGAUCUUCUCCGAACAAACUUUUAAUAAAAAUAAAAGUUUCGCCAAAAAAGUCAAAAUCCGCGUGUCUGCCCCAAGUCACAAAGAUUUUCAGCCUUGAACUCCAUGCCAGCAUCUGCCUCCAGAAGGUCCCAACGCUGUCCUGUGCAGACUCAUCUCUAUCUCACACCAAGCCGUUACUGUCAGCAAACAGGCUUCCUCGUCC